rnacentral:tRNA from 1 species
GCGAAAGUGGCGGAAUUGGUAGACGCGCUGGUUUUAGGUACCAGUAGGAAAUAUCCUGUGAGAGUUCGAGUCUCUCCUUUCGCAUCA